GCAGAACUUCGUAGGGGACCAGCAAGACGUGUCAAUUCGCAGUGCGAGUUUGAAGGAGGCCGGAGACGCUACGCAUGUCCCGCUUAAAGACAAAAGAUUUGCUAAGCCUCGUUGUCCCGAUGCGUUGCUGCGAGCUAUCCAAUUAACCUAUGCAGGAGACCUUCCUUCGUUUCGGAUUGGAAAUGGUCCAUCGCUCCUCAGCGCCACUGGCCAUAGAAGCAAGACAGUACGUGGGCCGUGAACAUAUGGGCAAAUGGGCAACGGCUAUGAUCUAAUAAGCAAGAAGGCGGUGAGAAGAGUGCCAUAUGCUUUCUCUUUUCUCUCUUUACGUCACAAUCGCUCGAUUCAGGCUUUUCUAUAGCUACACUCGGAUCCAGGUGGAUACUGAGAUUGUGUUGCUUUAGUGCAAAUAUGUGGUGCGAUUCCUUUUGUCACAUCUACGCCAAGCUCUGCGCGAACAAUGGUGUUUCAGGUUGCAGAAGCCUGAGACGCACAAUUUGAGUGACAAAUCAGGUAGCCUUCCACUGGCUUCUAAGUAGUUGAUUCCUUUUGUCACAUCUACGCCAAGCUCUGCGCGAACAAUGGUGUUUCAGGUUGCAGAAGCCUGAGACGCACCAUUUGAGUGACAAAUCAGGUAGCCUUCCACUGGCUUCUAAGUAGUUGUUGGGUAGCAAGGAACAGACUCAUCGGGCGGCUUGUUCUAACCAUACCAUUGAAAAGAAUAUCAAAUAAUAAUUCCUCUCUCUAACACUGACGUUGACCGGAAGCUAUAAAUGCUCGCUCGUGAACGCCCCACGUCGCACUGGAAUGAGUCGCAUAUGCACGCAUGAUUAUAUACCCGAUAGAUCCAUCUGUAUUCGAAUACCUCCAGGACUUCACCGAGGUGGUGCCACCCUGCUGUGCCGUUUAUGGUAGGGUGUCACAUUAAGCAAUGCGUACGUGCACCGCAAUGGAAUGGCUGGCACUGCAGCAUGUGGUCAAUGAAGCAGCGGCGAAACAAUUCAGCAUAUAUAUUCAGUGCGAAUGCGUGUAGUACUGCACGCAGGGACAGUCGCUCUGCAUUGCGAUCAACUGGACGAGCAGACUGUUUCGGUGGAAAUAGUCCUGUGCCACAGACAGGAGAAGGCUGUGCAGGUGCUCCUGCGCUUUGUGUAGUCAACUGGUCUCUCCAAACUAGCCUGAUUGCAACGCCCCGCAUCAGUGUGCAUGUGUGUUUUUUUCUUUUUUAUUCGUGUCUCUGUCUGUCUAUCCUCUUUUCGAUUCCUGUUUUCCUUCUUUUGUGCAGGGUAGCAAGCGGGUUCUUAUUUAUUUAUUUAUCUUAUUUAACAACACUGCCAAUCUCAUCAGAGAUUAUAGCAGGGAAGGCAUAUGAAAACGAAUAUUUUCUUUACACAGAUUCAUAUUGAUAGAAAGCACAAAAAAGCCGGAAUUAGAAAAUGACACGCCAAUCAUAGGUAAUGCAUUGUUAUUAAAGAAUACGCAAUCACACAGUUUUAGUAAUAGCAAAAUCAUGAACAAGGUUAUCGUUAAAAACGACCGCGAAAAGAUAAUGCAUGCAUUUGUAAUAUGGGGUAGAGACAACAAGUAGGCAUUUUUAUUGAACAAUUUAUUCAAAAAAUUUUAUGAACAAUAAACUAAUCGAAAAAUAUGUCGCUUGAAAAUAACGAUCAUAAAAAACAAAACUUUUGUAUUAGCAAUUGAACACUGACUCGUUUUUUGGGUUUAUUGGUGAUGGGAUGUUGUUAGUGCUAUUUGCGAGGCGAGCAAUUCGCUUUCAAUCGCAGCUGUAAACAAGUUAAUGGAUGAUUCAGUGCUUAAGAUGAGUUUCAGCGAGUUCCAAUCUUUAAUGGUUAAAGGAAAAAUGAGUAUUUAAAGCAAUUAGUCUUAAAAGAGUAUUCUAGAAGAGUAUGGAAAUGAUUAUGCUGGGUUGAUCUGUCGUGAAAAAAAAAAGAUACGUUGAGGUGUCUUUUUUAUUAUGUUGUAGAGUAGUUGAAACAUUACAUUUAGUCUUGUUAGCUUUGUUCUGUUUUGUAGUGUUAGAAUGCCAGCGUUAUGGAGUAGGUGCGCCAGUGAGUCUGUCAGUCUAUACUUGUUGAAAAUAAACCUUAUUGCAUUUGUUUGAAUAUCUUGUAUUUUAUUAGUCUGUUGGUGGGUAUACGGGAACCAGACAGGGCUGGCAUAUUCUAAUAUAAAUCUGACGAGGGUAGUAUCAGCUAUUAGUUUGGUAUUUGGUGGUGCGUGCUUAAGACGUCUUUUGAAUAAAAAUGGUCUUUUAUGGCUGUCCCAGUAAUAUUAUCAAUGUGGAUAUCCCAUCUCAGGUCGUUUGAAAAUGUUAUUCCUAGAUAUUUGUGGCUAGAGACUGUGGCUAAAGGGCAGUUGUCAAUAGUGUAAGAAAAGUUGGACCUGUGUUUUUCGCGAGUUAUUGUCAUGGAGACACAUCUACCAUUAUUGAGGGACAUCUGCCAUUUUUUUGCACCACGUGUGUGCAUCUUCUAGUGCUCGGUUAAGAAUUAGGUGAUCCGUUGGAGUAUUAAUUUCCUCGUAAAGUACGCAGUCAUCUGCAAAGAGCCUUAGUUUUACUUCAGUUGAGAGGGGCAGAUCUAUAAUGAAUAUUGUGAAUAAUAUUGGUGCUAAGACGCUGCCCUGUGGCAUGCCUGACGUGACUGCUGCUAUUCUAGAGGUGGUGUCUUGUAACUGUACAAAUUGUGAGCGAUUAGUUAAGUAAUCCUUGAUUUAGCAAACAAUGUUGCUAUCUCCAAGGAUAACUUCUAACUUACUUAUUAAUUUUGUAGGAGAAACACAAUCAAAUGUCUUUGAAAAGUCUAAGAAGAUCAGGUCUAUUUGUUUAUGGUUAUUAAUAUACUGGGCUGCAUCGUGUAAUAAUUCUAAAAGUUGAGUAACCGUUGAAAAGCCUUUUUGAAAACCGUGUUGUACAGGAGACAGGAUAUUUUUUUCUAGGUAAAUAGUUAUGUGUUUCAAUAUCAUAUGUUCUAACAAUUUACGCACAGAACAAGUUAGUGAUAUUGGCCUGUAAUUUGAAACCAUGGUUUUGCUGCCUGCUUUGCGUAUUGGUAUAAUUGUUGCGGUUUUCCAUACUGCGGGGAUAGUGCAUAAUUGCAGUGAUUUAUUAAAGAAUACACAUAAAUAUUUAGCUACCCGUUCCGCAUAACUUUUAAGGAAGAUGUUUGAUAUGUUGUCAGGUCCCGGGCCCUUCUUGGUAUCGAUAUUUAUUAGUAG
rnacentral:lncRNA from 1 species